UGGGGAAUAUUGGACAAUGGGCGCAAGCCUGAUCCAGCCAUGCCGCGUGAGUGAUGAAGGCCCUAGGGUUGUAAAGCUCUUUCACCGGUGAAGAUAAUGACGGUAACCGGAGAAGAAGCCCCGGCUAACUUCGUGCCAGCAGCCGCGGUAAUACGAAGGGGGCUAGCGUUGUUCGGAUUUACUGGGCGUAAAGCGCACGUAGGCGGACUUUUAAGUCAGGGGUGAAAUCCCGGGGCUCAACCCCGGAACUGCCUUUGAUACUGGAAGUCUUGAGUAUGGUAGGGGUGAGUGGAAUUCCGAGUGUAGAGGUGAAAUUCGUAGAUAUUCGGAGGAACACCAGUGGCGAAGGCGGCUCACUGGACCAUUACUGACGCUGAGGUGCGAAAGCGUGGGGAGCAAACAGG
rnacentral:rRNA from 1 species